CCCUUAGAUGUUUUGGGCCGCACGCGCGCUACACUGAUGCAUUCAACGAGCCUAUCCCUGACCGACAGGUCCGGGUAAUCUUUGAAUCUGCAUCGUGACGGGGAUAGAUUAUUGCAAUUAUUAAUCUUCAACGAGGAAUGCCUAGUAGGCGCAAGUCAUCAGCUUGCGUCGAUUACGUCCCUGCCCUUUGUACACACCGCCCGUCGCUCCUACCGAUUGGGUGUGCUGGUGAAAUGUUCGGAUCGGCCGUUUGUCGCGGUUUCCGCGUCAUGUGGCUGAGAAGUUCAUUAAACCCUCCCACCUAGAGGAAGGAGAAGUCGUAACA
rnacentral:rRNA from 1 species